CCCUCAUAAAAAUGAUUCCGCGGUCAACAAUAGAGACCCUAAUAAUUUUUAUAAUCUCCUUCCAGAAAGGCCAGCACUCAACCAAAGCCCUAAACCCUAAUAAUUCCCUCAUCCCUCACUCUUCUUCUUCGUUAAUGGCGCAGAUAUCGGCAAGAGCCAUCAAAUCAGAAAGCAGUACACGAUCCAGCUAGGCGAGAACAAGCUCGUCUCCGAUCCCUUAUAAUCUCCUUCCAGAGAAACGAAAGAUGCAAUUUUUAUAACGGUCGAUUGCAGGAACUGGAUCUCUUGAAUGAGCGCGCCAGCGUGUGCAAGUUGAUCGGGCCGGUGCUCGUGAAGCAGGAUCUGGCCGAGGCUAGGGCUAAUGCCCGGAAAAUAAUCGACUACAUCUCUGCUGAGCUAGGCUGGAUGGGACUCUUCGGGAUCUGGAUGGCAAGCAGAAUAACGAGAGAGACAAGGUCCUGAAGCUGCAGCAGAAGAUUCAAACUCUGCAGGCUAGUAAAUCUAAGGCCUAGGUUACUGUGCACGUGCUUACAUUUAGGCCUAGGUUACUGUCCACGUGCUUACAUUUAGUUUCUCACCAAGAUUUUGUGUUUUCCCCUUGUAAGAACACAAGAUAUGUGCAAGAGAUAACUAAUACCUUAUGUGAUGGAUUUCAAGCUAUGAAAAGGUUACUGGCAUUAUAUAUUUCCAAAUGAUAUUGCUGAUUUGUCUUUUCACCAAA